rnacentral:rRNA from 1 species
CCCUUAGAUGUUCUGGGCCGCACGCGCGCUACACUGAUGCAUUCAACGAGCCUAUCCUUGACCGACAGGUCCGGGUAAUCUUUGAAUCUGCAUCGUGACGGGGAUAGAUUAUUGCAAUUAUUAAUCUUCAACGAGGAAUGCCUAGUAGGCGCAAGUCAUCAGCUUGCGUCGAUUACGUCCCUGCCCUUUGUACACACCGCCCGUCGCUCCUACCGAUUGGGUGUGCUGGUGAAAUGUUCGGAUCGGCCGUUUGUCGCGGUUUCCGCGUCAUGUGGCUGAGAAGUCCAUUAAACCCUCCCACCGAGAGGAAGGAGAAGUCGUAACA